UUGACUUUAGAGACAUUUAAUAUGUACAGCAGGAUUUGAAGCAGCAUGGAAAGUCAUACAUAUAGGAAUAAUGCACCUCGCWGAUAAUUGACUCCUUUAUUUGCUGCUGUGGAGGUCACCCUGAUGUUGAUGCAUUUAAAGAYUGGAUGAAUACAUUUCAACAUAUCAGGUCGAGGAAGUACUGGUAACUCCUCUAAAGAGCUUUCCUGUCUGCAGCAGAGCAGCUUCCAUGUCUUGAUGCUGGAGCACACRACACUCUCCACCACACAUCUGUAGAAGGACGUGAGGACAGAGCUCCCGAGUCCAGCACGUCUCAGCCUCCUGGGGAAGUAGAGCUGCUGAUGUGCCUUCCUGACCAGGGUGGAAGUGUUGGUGCUCCAGUCCAAAGCGUGGCUGGCCACAAAUGCCCCGGACAUCCGCUGAGCRGCCAGGUGGCAGGUGGGGCUGGACGGAAUCAGGAAGCUGAGCCACGAAGACGACUGCAGGCACACCCACACAGGACUCCUGGUAUUUCUAAGUGCGUGGCUGCCAACGUGCCCAUUACUCAGCGCCUGCUGUGGGGUGCCAGGCGUCCGGCGCUGGACGUUGUUUAAUGGCACUCAUUCCAUCCAUCAUGUCAGAUGGAAACCGUGACAGAAAAUCACACAGUAUCAUGAUGGACCGGAAUUCAAGGAAGAGGCUGUGACAAAGAAUUACAUCAUGAUGGGAUUCUGUGCUCUGCAGGAGGAGGAAAUCCAGCCACUCAUCUAUCAAACGCUCGAGCUGCUUUGAGGAAUUACCUCUCAUCGGUCAGUCUAAACAGGAAGACUUUGGAGGGAUUAUGCCAUGUUAGGUAAAUAUUGUACGGGAAGCAUCAGACGCUGGGCAAACAUCUGAGCGUGGCGUUCGUAUUGACCAAGGUCAGGUUCACAUAAUUACAAGUCUAAACGGCUCCAGAAAGCAAGCGGGGCUGAGCCGCUGUACAGUUUCUCAACACCGACUGUCUUUGUGUGAAACAAGUGAGCAGCGACGACUCUGGCUUUGUGUAAUUCUGUCUGAGUCGCUUCACGCUUCACUUUGUGACGGGUUAAAACAUAAUAAAGAUGAUUAAAUCUCUGCUCAGUGAACAUCAACAUUUUGUGUUUGUAAAGAAAAUAAUAAAAAAGGGGAAAAAAAGCAACAGGAACAGCCGCAUCCUUUUCAUCUUACCUUCCUCCACCCAUCUCCCCACAGAGUAAAUGAACUCUCCCCACAGAAGCAAGAUAUGUUGUAUAAAUGGGAUUCAGGGGGAUCACAGCUUUUUCUCCCUACUAAAUGUUAUGGGAGCAGUAAGUGUUGGCAAACACAGCCUCUCGUUCAAAGGUAAAAGUAAUUGUCCCAAAACUGUGUAAAACCAAGAUCCUGUUCGGAUUAUAAAAAGCUGUUUUGCACAAGAUCUCAUGUGAGGUGUUAGUGCUCAGACUAUGWGUUAAGGAUGACUCAGAUUCAUGACAAAGAGCUGAAAAGUAUGAAGCCCAAUGAAACAUAUAUUUUCUAACCCAAACUUGUGUCUGACUUCUGCUGAAAGAAAAACUGUUCUUCAUGGUUUACUGUAAACAAUGGGCACACUGCUGCAGGGAACAAAAACUUCAAGAUGUUUCUCUUGAUGAGUUUUUCAAACAUAAAUAGCUGUAAGCUGCUCCCAGCUACUUCUUUGCAGCUUACCCAUUAAAGAUCUGACAGUCACAAUUUCAAUUUAUGAUCAAAAAAGCUUCUGUUCAGAUGAAAUUGAAGUUUAAAUUUUGAAGAAAAACUUGAAUUUUAGGAUUGCUAAGAAAACCAAAAAAAUCUGAUCUUCAUUGGAAAAAAAACCCCUUCAUACACAUUAGAGCUUCUGUUCUACCACACCUGCACAAAUAUCACCUGCACGGAAGAAUUAACAGGGUGGAUUUAUCAUGYUGCUUUAUCCUGCAGCCGGUGAAAAACUGAGCUUUUCAAGGCUAAAAAGGAACAACAAACACUAACAAACAUGACAAAAGCUGAAAAUGAAACAACAGCAUAAAAAUUUUUAACCUAACUUAAACAACUGAAUUCUUACAUCUCAAAAGGACUGUGCUACAACCUAGACCAGGGGUCUGCAAACUUUACAAUCAAAAGAGCCAAUUGUGCUCCUUGUCUCACUAAUAAAAUGUGUCCAGAGCCGCAAAACAAGCUGCAACUAUGAUUAUCAACURGGGGUCUGUGGGACAUUUCAAGGCCUUUCCGGGAACCUUUAUGGU